GUCUAUGUAUGCAGUCUAGUGCUUUGAGUGUCAGACUAUGACUCUGGAGAGCAGGGUUCGAAUCCCAGCUUAGCCA